GGGUCCUUUAAAGACGUCCAGAAGAAUAUGACCAGCAGCAACAUGAGGCAGAAUCAGGAUAGACCAAUCAUCCAAAAGUGACAUGUGGCACCUGAUUAUUCAGCACUCCGUCCUUCUUCAGUGAAGGCCUGCGGGAAGCGAGACAUCUUCCUCAUCAUUCCCCUGUGGCCAGGUAAUUAUACUAAUCUACCUUCCUCCUGUGCUGGAGCUCCUGUGCCACACUGGCUCGGACCACCUCUGUGGCUUCAUUAUCAGAGGAGGGACUCACUAAUGGCUCCACGGCCUCGCUGUGCAGGCUGCUGGCAGAGAAAACAGGGGGAAAGGAAAAGAAGAAGAUGGAGGAGGAGGAGGAGGAAUAGAAGAAGAGAGAGAAAAGGGGAGAAAAAUGAGACGCUAAAAAGUCUGCCCUGAAGGUUAACAUCUCAAUCAUGAGGGACAAUAAUCGUGUGUCCAACAGCUUUGGCUCGGUAAAAGUCAUCAUUCAGAGAUGAGGAUGAGGCUCCAGAGCACCAUGGUGUCAAAGAGGAAGUAAGAAGAUCAACAUAAAUGAUCUCCUCAGGGCAAAAUGACCAUGAAAUGUGUGUGUUUGAGGUAACAGAUCGCCAUGUCCUCAUGUCCUCGUGCGUCCCUUACACACCCCCACCUUGCAUGUUUGAAACACUUAUAACCUCACAACAUACAGACGGACUGGGGGUGGGAAUCCUGUUUUUUUUCCCCCCCGACAAAUGACACCCUGACAGUUGGAAAAAUGUUGGGGUCCCUGAACAGAUUUCUCAGUUACAAAAAUAAAAUGUGUUGGAGUAGACAAAGACAGACAUUUUUACAUUCUACUUUUGAACCCCAAUGAGAGCACUGACAAAUGCCACCCCACCCCCUCUCCGUCUGUGCCAUGAUUGUUUUUUUCUCUCGAGAAAUGUCAUAUACUUAAGAGGUGAUAAUUCUAUAUGGCACAAACAGACACUGGCUUCUUCCAAGUGUACAUAGCAUAUAGGCUGACACAGAUUGAGAUGGUGCAACAUGUCUUUGCAUCACUCUAAAUAGCCAUGAUGGCUUCACUCAUACUUUAUGUACUCAGAGAGUCGAUGGAAAACUUUGUUUCGAAAUGGAUGAGGAACUCAAAGGCAAUGCUCUAGAAGUAAAAAUGAAUAAAUAUAAACAUAUAUAUAUAUUUAGAUGUUAAAUUUACUGCAGUGUAAGUGAUGUGUGAAAUAUAUAGAAAAUCUCCUGUUUCUGUGUAGGUGUAAAAGCCUACAUGCGGGAAACUGCAUCAAUAAACAGCAUACCAAACCCCCUGAGAGCUGGUGUUAACAUAUUCAGUUUGGAAAGAGCAACAGCCAACAGAUCAUAUGUUAAAUAAAUAUUUAAAAAAUGCUGAUUGACGCCAGUUUCAGUAAAUAUAUACUAUUACUAUAUUAUGAGCGUCACUCUCUAAAUUUUUACAUUCAAAUAUCCAACUGGAAUUAAGCAUACUUGUGUGUGUGCUUAAAAGGAUAAGUAGAAGAAUUCACCAAUUUUAAGGUUCAAAACUUGACGCACAACACAACUGUAAGUGUGUAAGUGCCACUACAGUGGAGUACUCUCAUUUUGUGAUGUAUUAUAAAUGUGUAGGUGGGUUUGCAUCAGUUAAAUGAGUAAACUUUUUUAUACACCUCCACACAGGCAUAUCCUCUUUUCCUGGAAGAAAACUAAACUGCACUUUUUCAGCCAGGCAGUUUUGUGAUAGAGAGCAAAUAAUCUGUGAGCAGACACACUAAGAAAGCUCUAAGCACUACAACAAUAGUCCCUUAGGCAGGACUACCAUGCCUAAUGAUUUUAUCUACCUAUGAGAAGGUAAUCAUACAUGUAUAUAUAAAUAGAGAGUCUCUUUUAGCAGCAAGUGACUUUGGAGUUAAAGGGUACGUUCAACAAAAAUCCAAUAAAGCCAGACUGUCCCUUGUCUUUAGAAACAGCUAGCAAUAGAGCCUCACCCCUAUUCAGAAAAUGUCCUUCAUGUAAAGCAGGUCAUCAUAAAGCCUUUCAUGGUGCGGUCUUUGGAUUACAAUGGAGGACAUUGUUUUAGAAAAAAAGACUGAUCUUUUGAUUUAUUAAAAUGUAAAUCAAAUUUCAUUCAAUUCUAUUGUUUGUGGAGGCAGAUGUUUUGGAUAUGAAUAUCUCAAAAUCUGGUUUGUGAAACCACAUGUCAUUGUAUUGCUACACAGCACUGGAGGCAAAUAAGAAAUAUGGUUAUGAAAUAAUUAAUACUGUGUUCUCAUGCAGAGACUGCUGUUUUGGCCGCUACUGGAAUUGAAAUAUUGCCUUAUAAUUGAACAUGAAAGUAUAUGUCAUUCUUUAAGAGUAGCAGAAGAGAGAUCUGGUGAUGGUAUAAUUCACAAUGAUAAAGUAUAAAUGUGUAAAGUGGUAUUAUUAGAUGAACCUUGCCUGUGUUAAAACAUUCUGUGUACACACUGCUGGGAAUGGUGCUGUGCAGCAUUUCCCUCAGUGCUGCUGAUGAAGGCUGAAAAAUUAACUAUAAAGAUCUAAUGAGAGAAAGUAAAAGCUUAUACUCAGAAUUACAUGAUGAAAUAAAUGUGCAAAUGACUCUACCAUGUACAGUGGGCUAUGUAAUGCAACAUGUGCACUCUAAUGUGUUGACCUAAAUUAUUGUACAGAUCAUAUUAUGCCGCAGUUCAACUGUGCAAAAUGUUACAAAAAUGCACUUUCAAAGAGUCACUAUUUACCAUGUAAUACAUAAGAUUGUUAGAAUUACUGUGUAUUAAAGUCAUGUUUUUACUAGAUUACAAUACAUCAAAUAUAGACAUUCUAAGCUUAGGCAACAUAAACAUCAUACUCAAUACAAACAAAUACUCAAUACAAAAAAUUGGACUUGAAUGGGAGCCAACUGUAAGUUAGUUCUGCCUUAAAAAAAUAUAUAUAAAAUGGUCAGAUUGGUGCUUUGAUGUUAUUGGCAAUUUUUAAAAUGAUACUUUAUGAUAGAAUAACUAAAACCUCAACAUGGCUAUGACAGUAAUUAUUGAAAAAGUUCCAGUUUAGGGUGCCUAUAUUUAGUGUGUAUAUAAACGGAUGAUUUGAGGUGACAGUCAAUAUGCACGCUAAGGGCUCAGGAGAAUAUUAAUACUCACUCCACCUAAACAUUGUUGUCAGACUCAGAUGGCACAUGCAGCUAUGAGAGGGGUAUAGCACUGUGUGGGGUUUGAUAAGCAUGCUUUAUUUUUUGUGACUGGGGUAAUGUGAUGAUAGUUGAUGCUAUAACUGUCUUUUUUUUUUUGCACAGGAUUCUGAAUCAGAAACGUGCUAGGCCUAUAAAUAAAUGGGUUACUGGGGUGGAAAGUAUUAGCUUCAAAUGUUUCUUUUUUCUCACCCUUUUAGUUUAAAAGAUGGUGAGCGGUACAGGGAACCUUUUUUUGCCCUUCAAGGUCAUAAGUCUGCUUGAGCAUUUCUCUCUGUCUUUGUGGUAGAUCACAACCUUUUGUUUAUCAUCUUGUGUCAUGCUCAUAACUAUGUGCCUUUUCUGCUUCAGGUCUUGUGCUGAGCAAUGCCACUAUAUAGCCUUGAAUACUGUGAGGUAAUGAAUGUAACACUUGCCAGUGUGUAAAGUGUACGCAGAGGAGGAUCCAGGCAGAGGAGGAUCCAGACAGAUGAAGGCAGAGGUGGGACCGUUUCUUCACAGGUCUUUCACAUGUAACAACCCAAAGCGUAGUCACUUCCUUAAACGGAUCAUGGAGAAAUGUAUAAAAAGAAAAAAAAAAAGAAAACCCUGCUCUUCUUCUGCAGCUUUGCUUUGACAAAACCAAAAUAGGCUCCAGCUAGUAGGACGAGUGUUCGUCACAAACAAGCAUCAGUAUAACAGAUGAAACAUGGGUUUUCUUCUCUUUAAAGGGCGCUGAAAUGUACACAAAUAGCACUCUUGCAAACUAGAGUUGGCAAAACACUGUCACUGAAAAUGUUUUGCAGUGUUUUGAUUAAUUGCAGUCUGUGUCUUUAUGUGUGCUUGUACAAAAAUAAGGUGUAGUUGCUAAAUUGCUGCUGACAUGUUGUGAAAAGUGUCUUUAGCUAGUGUACAGAUAUGAGCAACAAAGCCAAAAUAACUCAGAUGAUACUUUAUAUAUAUAGUGUAUGCAAUUUAAAAAAUAUAUAUUAAAUUACACUGAGUGUGAAAGUUUCCUCCAAAUCCUCUAAAACAAUGGUUACACAAAAAUAAUCUCGCUCUCGAAAGUACUUUUUUUUUGUCUUUUCCAUGAGCUUGAUGCCCUCUCAGCUUUUAUAUUUCACCACAUAGAAGGUUGUGCCUUAUUUCUUACGAUUUCUUGUAUUUUGAAGAAAAUUUCUUUCAACUGGACCCUGUUUGCUACUGAAUUUAAUGUAUGAAACUUGAGACACCUUGUUUUCUCUUUCUGAUGGCAGCUGCCCAAUUGUUUACAAUAUAUUAUAUCAUAGAAAUCCAACGUAUGAUACUGAAUGAAGAAUUGGGCAAGGUACAAAAUAUAUAUCAUUUACAGGUACCUUUAUUUAUCUAUAAUAUUGAAGUUUUAUUUAAAACUCUACUUUAUACUUUAACCUCCAUAGUCCAAUGGAAAUCAAACACUUUGUGUCAGAACAUUGUUUUUGAAGCUAUAGUUAGAUAUUAAUUACAUGUUAUUUAUUGUCUUGUGAAAAAGAUGAACAACAAAUAAGAUGGCAAAGUAAAAAUCAGAUCCACUUCAUUUAAAAACAUUAAAAUGAUUCUAACAUGUUGCAUCUGCAUCCACUAUAUGGAACGAUCAUAACACACGUCAUUUUUUCUGCAUAACGAGUACUUUUAUUUUCAAUACUUGGAGCAUAAUUUGCUGAAAAUACUUCUGGACUUGAUGUAAUAUAAAGUAAAAUAUUUUGACUUUGGUGCAUUUCAUCUUUUACCUUCAAUAAAGCCUGUGAAAACUUA